rnacentral:rRNA from 1 species
GAUGAACGCUGGCGGCGUGCCUAAUACAUGCAAGUCGAGCGAACGGACGAGAAGCUUGCUUUUCUGAUGUUAGCGGCGGACGGGUGAGUAACACGUGGAUAACCUACCUAUAAGACUGGGAUAACUUCGGGAAACCGGAGCUAAUACCGGAUAAUAUUUUGAACCGCAUGGUUCAAAAGUGAAAGACGGUCUUGCUGUCACUUAUAGAUGGAUCCGCGCUGCAUUAGCUAGUUGGUAAGGUAACGGCUUACCAAGGCAACGAUGCAUAGCCGACCUGAGAGGGUGAUCGGCCACACUGGAGCUGAGACACGGUCCAGACUCCUGCGGGAGGCCGCAGUAGGGAAUCGUCCGCAGUGGGCUAAAGCCUGACGGAGCGACGCCGCGUGAGUGAUGGAGGUCUUCGGAUCGUGAAACUCUGUUAUUAGGGAAGAACAUAUGUGUAAGUAACUGUGCACAUCUUGACGGUACCUGAUCAGAAAGCCACGGCUAACUACGUG